GCCCUAGUAACGGCGAGCGAAGCGGCAACAGCUCAAAUUUGAAAUCUGGCUAUUUUGUAGUCCGAGUUGUAAUUUGUAGAGGAUGCUUUUGGUGAGGUGCCUUCCGAGUUCCCUGGAACGGGACGCCAGAGAGGGUGAGAGCCCCGUACGGUUGGAUACCAAACCUUUGUAUAGCUCCUUCGACGAGUCGAGUAGUUUGGGAAUGCUGCUCUAAAUGGGAGGUAUAUCUCUUCUAAAGCUAAAUAUAGGCUAGAGACCGAUAGCGCACAAGUAGAGUGAUCGAAAGAUGAAAAGCACUUUGAAAAGAGAGUUAAACAGCACGUGAAAUUGUUGAAAGGGAAGCGCCUAUGACCAGACUUGUUUCUUUCAGUUUUGUUAGUUUUCGGACUGAUUUACUCUGUUAGUACAGGCCAGCAUCAGUUUGUUGUCAGGGAGAAAGGCUUAGGGAAUGUGGCUCUUUCGGGAGUGUUAUAGCCCUUUGCAUAAUACCUUUCGGCAGACUGAGGACCGCGCUUCGGCAAGGAUGCUGGCGUAAUGGUCAUCAGCGACCCGUCUUGAAACACGGACCAAGGAGUCAACCUUAUGUGCGAGUGUUUGGGUGUAAAACCCCAGCGCGUAAUGAACGUGAACGUAGGUGAGAGCUUCGGCGCAUCAUCGACCGAUUCUGAUGUUCUCGGAUGGAUUUGAGUAAGAGCACACAGGGUUGGACCCGAAAGAAGGUGAACUAUGCUUGUAUAGGGUGAAGCCAGAGGAAACUCUGGUGGAGGCUCGCAGCGGUUCUGACGUGCAAAUCGAUCGUCAAAUAUGAGCAUGGGGGCGAAAGACUAAUCGACCUCU
rnacentral:rRNA from 1 species